rnacentral:lncRNA from 1 species
UGAGAAAAGUUGGGAAAAAAACAUAAAAAUAAAUAAAAAAGCUCAAAAUAUAUUCAAAUUGUAGAUUAUUUCUAACCGAUUAUUUAAUUUUUUUAAAUUUUGUUUUUUCAAUAUUGUUUUUUAAUUUAUUUGAAUUGAGUCGGUUAAUGAUAUUUUGAUUUUAAAAUUUGAAUACCUCAUUUAUCUAUAGAGGCUUAGUUAGUGUAUUUUAUAUAAUUCUUUAAAAACUGUAAGUUCAUUAUAAGUAAACAAUUAGCUUGAAUUUUGAAACUAAAGUGUCGUAAAUUUCUUCAAAUUAGAUAAAUUGAAAAAUGGAUAGUAAAAUUAAAAUUUUUAAAAAUUGGAUAGUUGACUUAAAAUAAUCUACAACUCACAUAAGUUCUGUAUGUUUAUAUAUAUAUAUAUAGAGAGAGAGAGAGAGAUGAGCUGGAAUACUAUUGAUAGUAUUUGACCCAUUUUGCUAUCAAGUUUUUAAUCCUUAUAUGAGAAUUUUUUUUUUUUAGAGAUAGGUAGCACGCUACCCGCUUCGUUUAUUUCAUUUAGAAAUAAACUUAGCUAGAAAUGUGAAUCAACUAGGAUUCGAACUUGGGUCUCGGGUACCAACCGUCAAACCCUUUGCCACUUGCUCUAGGGACGAUCGGUUCCUUAUAUGAGAAAUUAUAGAGUUCAGAUGUUAUUAGUCCCUUAGCUAGGAUUGAGCGGCCCCCCUAAGGUUAAGUGGUCUCCAUCAGGUUAUAAUAUUUAAUCCAAUAAUUAGAAAUGAUCAAACAAAUUGAUCGAAAAGUUACAAACUUGACACCAAAAAAGAGCAAAUACUAUAUAUAUAUAUAUAUACUAGUUGAGCGUACGUGCAAAUUACGUAACAAAUAUUUUAAUUUAUUUUAAAUUAAUAAAAAUUUGUAAAUCAUAUUUAUUCAGAAAUUUAGGAUAAAAUAUUUUGUAAUUUUAUAUGUUACAUUUCAUUAGAAAAUAUCUACAAUAUCAAAUUUAAAUUUUAAUAUAAAAUAGUUGGAUAGAUUUGAUAUCAAAAAUCAAAAAUUAUAGUUAAUUCACAAUUUAAACGCAAAUUUAAAUUUUAAUAUAAAAUAAAUGGAUAGAAGUGUUAUUUUUUAACAGAUUGAUCAAUAUUUUUAACCAAUUGAUCAUAACUGUUCGUAGAAUUAAAUUAUAGAUGGUUAUAAAUAUUUUUUUUAACAAAUUGAUCAUACUCGUUCAUUCUUAUUUGAGAUAAUUAUGUACAAAUUGAUCAUAAAUUUGUACAUCAUAUUAAUUCAAAAAUAUGAUUUACAAAUUUAUCAAUCUAUCUAUCUUUUAAAUUAUUUCCAUUGUAAUAUGUUGAUAGCACCAAAAUUUAAAAUCUAAAAUUUUAAAAUUUUAAAUUUUGAAUUGAAAUAUAGAUUUUCAGUAGAUAUUCUAGCAAAAAUUUGGAUAAUUAUGAAUUUUUUUAUUUUAGAGAUAAAAAAUUAAAUAAAUUUCGAAUUAAAUUAUAGAUUCACGCUAGAUAUCUUUUGGUUGGCAAAAAAUUUGAAUAAGUAUAUAAAUAAAGAGAAAUUAAAAGUUUGUUCCAUUAUGUUAUUUAUUUUACAUAAGGAAAGAGAAAUUAAUUUUUUUUCUCGUCAAAAAAUAGGUCUGUCGACAAACCGAAAUUUGAAAUACUUGCUUAUAUAUAUAUAUAUAGAGAGAGAGAGAGAGAGAGAGAGAGAGAGAGCAGAGUGUACGUGCAAAUACACGUAACAAUUAUUUUAAUUUAUUUUAAAUCAAUAAAAAUUUUUAAUCAUAUUUAUUCAAAAAUUUAGAAUAAAAUAUUUUUUAAUUUUAUAUGUUAUAUUUUAUUAGAAAAUAUUUACAAUAUCUUACAUUAUUUUUUUAUAUGCAUCAAAUAUUUUUAUAUACAAUUUCUAAA